AUUGAACGCUGGCGGCAGGCCUAACACAUGCAAGUCGAGCGCGAAAUUUCCUUCGGGAAUGAGUAGAGCGGCGGACGGGUGAGUAACGCGUAGGAAUCUACCUAGUAGUGGGGGACAACAAUCGGAAACGGUUGCUAAUACCGCAUAAGCCCUACGGGGGAAAGCAGGGGAUCUUCGGACCUUGCGCUAUUGGAUGAGCCUGCGUCGGAUUAGCUAGUUGGUGGGGUAAUGGCCUACCAAGGCAACGAUCCGUAGCUGGUCUGAGAGGAUGAUCAGCCACACUGGAACUGAGACACGGUCCAG
rnacentral:rRNA from 1 species